rnacentral:tRNA from 1 species
CAAGGGGUAGUUUAAUGCGAGAAUCCUAGCUUUGGGAGCUAGGGGUAGGAGUUAAAUACUCUUCCCUUUGA